AUGAAACCGUUUAUCACAGAACGCCGCGCAACUGUAAGUCGUCCUAAAGUGAUCGUCCUGCCGCCGUCCAGUGAAGAGAUUUCCAUCAAGAAGACAGCAACAGUGAUGUGUGUGGCCAGCAAUGGUUUCCCUUCAGACUGGAGUCUGAGCUGGAAAGUGAAUGGGAAGAUGUCAGGAUCUCAGGAGAACAGAGCUGGAGUCCUACAGAAAGACGGCGGUCUGUACAGCUGGAGCAGCAGUCUGACUCUCACUGAACAAGAAUGGAUCAACAGAGACUCAGUGAUCUGUGAGAUCAGUCGGGAAGGUCAGACAGUCACUGGAGAAGUGAAGAAAGAUCUGUGUUCUGAGUAGAUCCUCUCUUCUUCUCAUCUCUUC